UAGUCCAGCCAGCACUCUGAUCAGCCAUGCCGCGUGCAGGAGACUGCCCUAUGGGUUGUAACUGCUUUUAUCCGGGAAUAGACCUCAUUACGAGUAAUGAGCUGAAUGUACCGGAUAAUAAGGAUCGGCUAACUCCGUGCCAGCAGCCGCGGUAAUAG
rnacentral:rRNA from 1 species